AACGAACGCUGGCGGCAUGCCUAACACAUGCAAGUCGAACGAGACCUUCGGGUCUAGUGGCGCACGGGUGCGUUACGCGUGGGAAUCCGCCCUUGGGUUCGGAAUAACACAGAGAAAUUUGUGCUAAUACCGGAUGCCGUCUUCUGACCGAAAAUAUAUAGCCCAGGGAUGAGCCCGCGUAAGAUUAGGUAGUUGGUGGGGUAAUGGCCUACCAAGCCGACGAGCUUUAACUGGUCUGAGAGGAUGAUCAGCCACACUGGGACUGAGACACGGCCCAGACUCCGACGUGAGGCAGCAGUGGGGAAUAGUGGACAAUGGGCGCAAGCAUGAUCCAGCAAUGCCGCGUGAGUGAUGAAGGCCUUAGGGUUGUAAAGCUCUUUUACCCGGGAUGAUAAUGACAGUACCGGGAGAAUAAGCUCCGGCUAACUCCGUGCCAGCAGCCGCAGUAA
rnacentral:rRNA from 1 species